AUGGUUCGACCGCAACCCCACCCUCGAUCGCAUCCCGUUGCUAACACGGCCCAUGAACCAGAUACAUCGCCACCAACUCAGCCCACGAUCAGAUACAUCUCCACCAACUCAGCCCACGAUCACGCACCGGCCAAAGAAAAACAACAGUUACGACUCAAUCCACGAUCACGCACCGGCCAAAGAAAAACAACAGUACCACGAUCACGCACCGGCCAAAGAAAAACAACAGUACUCCAUGCAUUGACCAAAAAAACAAACCAAAAAAAAGACACGUCCCAGCCAAACCAAACAAAGAAACAAGUGCGGAAGCUCCAUCGAGCCGUCAUCGCACGUCACCAGGAACGCCAGUUUUUCCUCUCCCUGGACCCAUACUCGCCCUCCGGCCACAUCCGCCGGAACGGAACCAGUCCGGCCACGCCGGAACCAGCAACCUCUGCUCCCGUCUCAUGGUGUUGCUCACCAAGGCCGUCUGUUCCUGCACCCAUCUCCUCUCAUGGUGUUGCUCACCAAGGCCGUCUGUCCCUGCACCCAUCUCCUCACGCCGCAGGUACAUCCUCCUGCCACCAUCCUCACCUGAGGCCGUCGGAACCAGCCACCUCCGCGCGCCGGCUGUUCCUGCACCCAUCUCCUCACGCCGCAGGUACAUCCUCCUGCCACCAUCCUCACCUGUUGCCUACAAAUAAAAUGCAUUCAUGA
rnacentral:rRNA from 1 species